GGCUCGUUGGUCUAGGGGUAUGAUUCUCGCUUUGGGUGCGAGAGGUCUUGGGUUCAAAUCCCGGACGAGCCC
rnacentral:tRNA from 1 species